rnacentral:rRNA from 1 species
AGAGUUUGAUCAUGGCUCAGAAUCAACGCUGGCGGCGCGCCUAACACAUGCAAGUCGAACGAGAAAGCAGGAGCAAUCUUGUGAGUAAAGUGGCGUACGGGUGAGUAACACGUGGAUCAUCUACCCUCUUGUGGGGGAUAACCCUGGGAAACCGGGGCUAAUACCGCAUAAGUCCGAGAGGAGAAAGCAGCAAUGCGCAGGAGGAGGAGUCCGCGGCCGAUUAGCUAGUUGGUAGGGUAAAAGCCUACCAAGGCAACGAUCGGUAGCCGGCCUGAGAGGGCACACGGCCACACUGGCACUGAAACACGGGCCAGACUCCUACGGGAGGCAGCAGUGGGGAAUCUUGCACAAUGGGGGCAACCCUGAUGCAGCGACGCCGCGUGAGCGAUGAAGCCCUUCGGGGUGUAAAGCUCUUUCGGCAGGGAAGAUUAUGACGGUACCUGCAGAAGCAGCUGCGGCUAACUACGUGCCAGCAGCCGCGGUAAUACGUAGGCAGCAAGCGUUGUUCGGAGUUACUGGGCGUAAAGGGUGUGUAGGCGGUCUUAUAAGUUUGGUGUGAAAUCUCCCGGCUCAACUGGGAGGGUGCGCCGAAAACUGGGAGGCUAGAGUGCGGGAUGGGAGAGUGGAAUUCCUGGUGUAGCGGUGAAAUGCGUAGAUAUCAGGAGGAACACCUGUGGUGUAGACGGCUCUCUGGACCGCAACUGACGCUGAGACACGAAAGCGUGGGUAGCAAACAGGAUUAGAUACCCUAGUAGUCC